CAAGGAAUAGUUUAAAAAAAAUUUAAGUUUUGGAGACUUAAGAUGGAGGCUUAUCUUUCCUUGA
rnacentral:tRNA from 1 species